UCUUUGUUUGCUAUUUCGUUUUCCUUAACAUGUAUAUUUUUUUUUAAUCUUUAAAUUUUGGAGGCGUCUGUGCUUGUUUUCAAAUCUUACUCUUUUUAUAAAGUAUUAUUUUGAGCGUAUGUUCCAAGUAAUCUAGCAAAAUCUCUAACCAUAUUGCUACCCAAUAGUUUAAGUAAUUUUUAGCAGAUUUUUAAUGUUAACCCCAUGCUAGUCUACAGGUAUUCUAGCCCAUUUCACUUUGUAUUUUCACAAGUAAUAAAACUGAACAUGCAUAUUCUUACGUAUUUUCCUAUUGAUCAAUGUGUUUAUUUUUCUGUUCCUGUUUUGUAACUUGUUCAUUUAAUUUGAAAUUUGAGUAACCACUUUCCUUGUCCUAGUGUGGUAGUUGUUGAAAUUUUUAUCAACCUACAAGUUUCCUUAGAUUCUUUUGAUACUCAAUAUAUUACAGUCAAAAUUCUAAUAUGGUCCUAUAUUUUAUGUAACAUAGGUGAAUAUUUUGAUCAAAUCCUUUAGAAAGUAAAUUUUCAUGAUUUUUAUUCAUCCUUAAUUUAGUCCUUAUUCAGAUUUUAAUAUCUGUCCUUACAGACUAACAUAAAUUCUCAAAACUAGUAUGAUCAGAUAUUUAUGUACUUUUCUGUAUUUGUAAGUAAAAGGCAUUUAUAUAAAUUUCAAGUCAGUGUUUAGAUUUUAAGCACCUUUGGUCUAUGACUUUGAAAAAGACCAGACUACUGUAAAGUUUAUUUAGUACAGAUUUAAGAAUAAGAGGUGAAAAAACUGAAACUUUUUUGUCUUAUUAUUGUCUUGUUCCAAAAAAGGAAGAAAUUGUUUAAUUAAGAAUAAAAGGAAAUGAAGUCUCAAGUUUGACUUAGAAUAAUACAAAGUCUGUUCUUCUAAAUAAACUUGUUUUGUUUUUUUACCAUACAUAUGAUUUGUGAUGUAAGUAUCGGGAACAGGAUCAUCAGAAACUACUUCAUUCAUUCAACAAGCACUUACUAAGCAUAUUAUUCAUAUAGUAGCAUAGUUUCAGUGGGUUCUAAUCUUAAAUUGUAUGAUACUUACAGUCCGUGAAAAGAAAGUGUUUUGAUCUUACAUGGUAACCAUUUUUUUAACUUCUAUUUUAGAUGCCUGGAAUGAUGUCUUCAGUAAUGUCAGGAAUGAUGAUGUCUCAUAUGUCUCAGGCUUCCAUGCAACCUGCCUUACCGGUUGGUAAUCUUAUGGAAAUAAUUAUUUUCUGUGUUUUGAUUACUUUCAUAUAUAAAUAAUAAUGUGCUAUAGGACACCCCAAAAUUAAAUUGUAAUGGAGCAUUACAGUGCAACAUAUAUACAUGUCCAGUGGUAAAACUAGUUCUGUAAGAAAUACGGCUUGUAAACCAUUUGUGAGGGGAAAACAUUUUAGUAGUUAUAUAAUAUUUUCAAAUAUGACAUUUAAUUUAUUAAGUGCUAGUAAAAAUUAACAUUCAACUUAAAAAUGAGAAGAUUUAAUUUUUUUGAAACGCCCAUUUUGGUAAAACUUGUUGCAAAUUAACUUAGGCUGUUCUUGAAUAGAGACUCAACUGUCACACUUAGGUAGUAAUUUGGUGACAUAUAAAUACUG
rnacentral:lncRNA from 1 species